rnacentral:rRNA from 1 species
GAUGAACGCUGGCGGCGUGCUUAACACAUGCAAGUCGAACGAUGAAGCCCAGCUUGCUGGGUGGAUUAGUGGCGAACGGGUGAGUAACACGUGAGUAACCUGCCCUUAACUCUGGGAUAAGCCUGGGAAACUGGGUCUAAUACCGGAUAUGAGCGUCCACCGCAUGGUGGGUGUUGGAAAGAUUUAUCGGUUUUGGAUGGACUCGCGGCCUAUCAGCUUGUUGGUGAGGUAAUGGCUCACCAAGGCGACGACGGGUAGCCGGCCUGAGAGGGUGACCGGCCACACUGGGACUGAGACACGGCCCAGACUCCUACGGGAGGCAGCAGUGGGGAAUAUUGCACAAUGGGCGCAAGCCUGAUGCAGCGACGCCGCGUGAGGGAUGACGGCCUUCGGGUUGUAAACCUCUUUCAGUAGGGAAGAAGCGAAAGUGACGGUACCUGCAGAAGAAGCACCGGCUAACUACGUG